GAUGAACGCUGGCGGCGUGCCUAAUACAUGCAAGUCGAGCGAACAGAUGAGGAGCUUGCUCCUCUGACGUUAGCGGCGGACGGGUGAGUAACACGUGGAUAACCUACCUAUAAGACUGGGAUAACUUCGGGAAACCGGAGCUAAUACCGGAUAAUAUAUUGAACCGCAUGGUUCAAUAGUGAAAGACGGUUUUGCUGUCACUUAUAGAUGGAUCCGCGCCGCAUUAGCUAGUUGGUAAGGUAACGGCUUACCAAGGCAACGAUGCGUAGCCGACCUGAGAGGGUGAUCGGCCACACUGGAACUGAGACACGGUCCAGACUCCUACGGGAGGCAGCAGUAGGGAAUCUGCCGCAAUGGGCGAAAGCCUGACGGAGCAACGCCGCGUGAGUGAUGAAGGUCUUCGGAUCGUAAAACUCUGUUAUUAGGGAAGAACAAAUGUGUAAGUAACGAUGCACGUCUUGACGGUACCUAAUCAGAAAGCCACGGCGAACUACGU
rnacentral:rRNA from 1 species